GACAGGCACGGGGAGCUGCUGGGAAGCUGGGGAGCUGCCUGGUCAAAGUACCUCAAGCUUUGGGUGGAAAAGCUUUAGGGCCGUGCAGGAGGAAAGAAAACACAGCAGAGCAGGGCUUUGCAAUGACACCUGGUAGCCCUUCAAGAAGCAGCUUUCUUUUCUUGGGAACUUAGCCCAGAUUUAAAGGAAUCUUGCUCCUAGGAUAAAGAAGUCCAUAUGCCAAGGGGAAAGGGAUUAAAAAUUACAAGAAACAGUUUUGAAGUAAACUAUACUCUUCGAGUUUUGCAAGGAGCAUUCUGUGUGGAGACCUGGUCUCUUCCUCCCCCUCCCCCCAGUUUCCCAACACAAGGCACCAGCACUGCCUCAUGCCCCAACUGAACCAGGGAGAACUGAACUGAGCCUUGAAAAGGGACUGGAGGAUUCAGACUGGCACAGUCUGGGGGCUGAAGGGAACACCAACCACCUGAUGGAUUUCUGCACAUGUUUUUUCCCAGAUGGCAGAGCCUGAAUCCUGCCCACAGCGAGGCGGGAUGGAUGAAACGCACCUCGGCUGGGAAGCAGGAGAGGAUGACUUUCUGAAUAGUUUCCAUCUGAUGCUUUAGCUGGCUGAUGAGGCUGGGGAUGGGUGUUUGGACCUUUGUGUUGGAGGCUCUCAUUGCAGAGUAAUCCUUCACUGACAGCAUUUUCCCAGUUCCCAAGGCCAGAGUGAACGGGUUUCCUCUCUUCAAGAUGCACUGAGACACAAGGGACUGGCACAGGGACAUGUAGGAGCAUCUCUGAUUUGCUUGCAAAGUGGUGCCCAUCCUCCCAAGUGUUUCUGGCCUGCCCCAAGGGCCAGGAUCGGAGCUGGGAAGCUUAUAUGUCUCACAGCCUUAGCUGGAUGCAGAUCUCUCUUUCAGCCCCAGAAAAGUUUCAGGUUGGCUCCGCUGUGCCUGGACUGGGCUGGAAACCUCUGGCCAGCAUUUGAGCUGACUAAAGGAGAUUUUUCCCUCUCCCAGAGCAGCAACUACAACAUCUUGCAGCCUGGAAUGUGCAGUGUGAAGCUCUUCUGGCCCUGGUAAAUACAACUUCUCGUUGGGAUAAUAACAUUUUAGAGCCCAAGAAAUAGCUAGGUUUGCCUCUGCUCCCCUACAGGCACUGAAGGCAAGCAGUCCCCAUGCAGCUGGCUCCAGAUUUGCUCUGCAUGCCCUGGGAGAGCCCCAAAGCCACCGUUCCCCCCCUUAAAGGGCCGAUGAGAGCCCUCCCCUGCUCAGGAAGGGCAGUAAUCCUCAAAUCUAAAUGUAUAGAGAGAUUCCUAGAAUAUCUACCAGACCAAAAAUGUACAUAGAAGGAAAGAGGAACCCAAAUGAUUUUAUUUCUUUCCCCAGAAAAAAAAACAAACCAUCAAGACUUAACCUUGGCUAUGGCCCUGGAGCUCUUGAAUACUUUACCCAGUGCCCUGUACUGACCUCUUUCCCCUUUUAGGGAGGGAAUGAUAGCAGCAUUAAAUGGAGGACAAUCCUUUUCACAGCGCUGUCUCAGAGAGGAUUCUCUCCAGGUUUUCUUACAAAGCUUCCAAGAGUUGCUCUGUCUUCUCUUGGCCUCCCAGUUCAGAAGGGAAGAAUUUUGUAUUUCUCAAGAAGCACAGAGUGACUUUGCAUGCGUUGCUGCUCCAAGUCCUGAGGUCCGUGCUGACAGCAGAGCUGGGAUUUCACCUCAAGGGCUGUCUCUGGAGUCACCUUGCCACGGUCUGCACUGCACUGAGGCCUGAAGUGAUGACCCGAUGCUUGUAGCACUGGCCUUCCUGAGUGACUCUCCCAUCUGGCUCGUAGAAGAGCCAGAAUAACAACCUGUAGCCCACACUGUCUGCCCAUGCACAUCCAAGCCCAUCCCAAAAGCUGCUGGAUGGAGAAGGAAAUAGCAUCUUGUUCCAACUGCUUCCCACUUGGCAGCAUGUGGAAAUCCAGAACACAUGGGGCAUGCAUGCAGCUGCAGAUCAUCCUGACAAUCCAUCAGCUGCAGCAGGCAUGGUAGGUGUACCCCAGCAAGAAGAGAUCGAGUACUUUCCUCCCGGGGCACAUGAGAAUAGGGUGCUGGAAAGCCACAGUGGGCAUCCCUCCCACUCUCCCAAGUGUCCGUGUAGCCACACAGGACACCCCAAUGUCAGACAGCCUAGGAAAGGGGUCUUAAGGCAAAUUUGGGCAACCCAGUGAAUGGCCAAACCUUGCAGGUGCUAUCACACAUGCACCAAACAGACCUUCAGCCUAAUGAGAGAGAUCCCCACAAGUCAGAGGUGACAAUUCUCUUGCUAAAUGCAGAAGAGAAUAUUAACACGGUUAUUUUAAAUGGCAGGCUAAAAUCUGGAUUGUAUUACAGCUGUGCCAAGCCAGCACCUCCAAGAAGGCCAUCCUGGUGCUCAGUGCAUACAUUAACACUGCCCUGUCUCCUCCCACAGAUUUAUAUCACGGUUUGAGUCCUCGCUAAAGCAAAAGCACAAGCACACAUUCCACAACACUUAUUAAUCCUGUUACAGGCCUUAAUGAAGAGCUGAACCGUGACAUUUUUAUUUGUUAUGGUUGCUAGGUAUGUUGCUAAGCCAUACACACCAUAACCCAGAUCCCAGUAUAUCUGUGAUAUCUGAGAGAGUGUACUGGGGAGUUUGUUUAUCUGAUAUUGCCAAAUUUAGUUAUACUUUGAAAACGCUGAAAAAAAAAAAAAGAGCCGUUCACAACCUUCUCACAGGCAUACCUUUUUCCUUGGCAACGCAAACACACGUAAGGAUAUUUAAAUAAACAGCUUUACCCUGUUGGUACUGAUACAUUUUUCCGUUUGCUUAAAAUCAAUGUUGUGGGUACAACCAUGCCCAAGGAGCACACACGGCUCUUAUGCAAACACCCACAGUGAAAGAGCUGUCCCCAAAAGCAGGGAGCAGACCCAGUGCUACAUCCCCAUAGAGAAACACCCCAGAGGGGGCUCAGACACCACCAUACGCCAGGGAUCUCUCUCACUGCACAAACCCUGGAAACUCCAUACACCCCCACACAUACUAUAUGAAAAGAAGGGCUUUUAUUCUGAAUUUGAAAUGGUGGGUGCUUUUUUUUUCCUAUUGCCUAGGGAGAUGGUGCUGGCAUCCAGCACAUGGAGACACUCGCAUACUGAAGACACUAAUUAGCCAUAAUAGCCCCGACCAGCAGCUCUACCCCUGCCUAUGCUCCCUGGAGCUUCGUUUCAGUCCCUGCUGGAGAUGUGCUGUGUCAGUGCUAGCUUCACCUUAGAGAUGCUUCAUUUCCAUGAACGUGUGUGUUGGUCUGGAUGUUUGGUUGAACCAGUCCAUGCUCUCUCUGCCCUGCUUGCUUAGCCAGGGUCUAGCCUGACACGUGGCAUCAGAUCGGCAGGGAUCCUAAGCUCCCGGUGACUAAGGGCAUGGAUGUGCAACCCCAGGGAGAUGGUUUCUCAGUAGGCUGGUGCACAGCCAGGCUCCUUGACUGUGUGAAAGCCAGAGGCUGGAUAUGGGGAACUGCAGGGACAGGAGCUCUCCCACGCAUGCUGUCCAAGGGAUUAAGAAGAGCUACUUUCCCUGUGCUCUUCACAGCUGACUCCAUGUGGAACAGCAUUACCUGUAGCCCCAUGCAGUAGCACCUUUCCUCUCUGCCUGGCAGACAGGAGCAGGAGGAUGACCCAGAGGUAAGAAGCCGCCUCAGGCUUCUGGAUGCCAAAUAGGUAGGAGAGAGAGAUUCUCUGUGCAGUGC
ensembl:lncRNA